rnacentral:rRNA from 1 species
UAAGACAGAGGAUGCAAGCGUUAUCCGGAAUGAUUGGGCGUAAAGCGUCUGUAGGUGGCUUCUUAAGUCUGCUGUCAAAUCCCAGGGCUUAACCCUGGCCAGGCGGUGGAGACUACGGAGCUUGAGUACGGUAGGGGCAGAGGGAAUUUCCGGUGGAGCGGUGAAAUGCGUAGAGAUCGGAAAGAACACCAAGGGCGAAGGCACUCUGCUGGGCCGAAACUGACACUGAGAGACGAGAGCUAGGGGAGCAAAUGGGAU